rnacentral:lncRNA from 1 species
CAGAGAUAAUUACUGUCUCUGAGCGUCGCUGAGAGAGAGAGAGGAUUAGGCUGUGGUGAGAGAGACUACUGUCUCUGAGAGUGGCUGAGAGAGAGAGAGAGAGAGAGAGAGAGAGGAUUAGGCUGUGGUGAGAGAGACUACUGUCUCUGAGCGUGGCUGAGAGAGAGAGAGAGAGAGAGAGAGAGAGAGAGAGAGAGAGGAUUAGGCUGUGGUGAGAGAGACUACUGUCUCUGAGCGUGGCUGAGAGAGAGAGAGAGAGAGAGAGAGAGAGAGGACUAGGCUGUGGUGAGAGAGACUACUGUCUCUGAGCGUGGCUGAGAGAGAGAGAGAGAGAGACUAGGCUAGAGAGAGGACUAGGCUGUGGUGAGAGAGACUACUGUCUCUGAGCGUGGCUGAGAGAGAGAGAGAGAGAGAGAGAGAGAGAGAGAGAGGACUAGGCUGUGGUGAGAGAGACUACUGUCUCUGAGCGUGGCUGAGAGAGAGAGAGAGAGAAAGUGGGAGAGAGAGGACUAGGCUGUGGUGAGAGAGACUACUGUCUCUGAGCGUGGCUGAGAGAGAGAGAGAGAGAGAGAGAGAGAGAGAGAGAGGACUAGGCUGUGGUGAGAGAGACUACUGUCUCUGAGCGUGGCUGAGAGAGAGAGAGAGAGAGAGAGAGAGAGAGAGAGAGGACUAGGCUGUGGUGAGAGAGACUACUGUCUCUGAGCGUGGCUGAGAGAGAGAGAGAGAGAGAGAGAGAGGACUAGGCUGUGGUGAGAGAGACUACUGUCUCUGAGCGUGGCUGAGAGAGAGAGAGAGAGAGAGAGAGAGAGAGAGAGAGAGAGAGAGAGAGGACUAGGCUGUGGUGAGAGAGACUACUGUCUCUAGGCUUUAUAACCGAGCCACCACGACCAAAACAAAAUGUCGUCUCUGUCUCUGACACAGUGUGUCAUCAGGGAAGUAAACACCUCGUUAUAUAUAUAGAAAACAAAACAAACGCCAAAUGGGGAUUUUAUUUUCGUAUAUUGUACCGUCUCUGUUUAGUCGUAUGUUUACUACAUAAAAAUAAUACAUAUUGAUGCAUUAAAUGCACCUCUGAGAUUAUGUAUAUAUUUCCUAAUAUUAGGCCUAUUAAUAUUUAUUGCUCUGAAAGAAACAAAGCAGAUUUUAUUUUGAAGUCAAAUAUAGAAACAUCUGGUACUACCCCUCCUCUCAGGUCCAUGAGAAGAACAGAACUACCCCUCCUCUCAGGUCCAUGAGAACAGAACUACCCCUCCUCUCAGGUCCAUGAGAACAGAACUACCCCUCCUCUCAGGUCCAUGAGAACAGAACUACCCCUCCUCUCAGGUCCAUGAGAAGAACAGAACUACCCCUCCUCUCAGGUCCAUGAGAAGAACAGAACUACCCCUCCUCCUCUCAGGUCCAUGAGAACAGAACUACCCCUCCUCUCAGGUCCAUGAGAACAGAACUACCCCUCCUCUCAGGUCCAUGAGAACAGAACUACCCCUCCUCUCAGGUCCAUGAGAAGAACAGAACUACCCCUCCUCUCAGGUCCAUGAGAACAGAACUACCCCUCCUCUCAGGUCCAUGAGAACAGAACUACCCCUCCUCUCAGGUCCAUGAGAACAGAACUACCCCUCCUCUCAGGUCCAUGAGAACAGAACUACCCCUCCUCCUCUCAGGUCCAUGAGAAGAACAGAACUACCCCUCCUCUCAGGUCCAUGAGAACAGAACUACCCCUCCUCUCAGGUCCAUGAGAAGAACAGGAGACAGAAAGAGACAGACUGGGAACAUUACAUGUCCAGGCUUUGACUGACAGAGGACUGGAAGGGACCCGUUGGGACUAACUCGUUAUCAUGCUAUUGAAGGACAACAACAGCCUUGACUGCCACCAAUAAAUAUAACAAUAUUUUUUAUUUAUUUAUAAUAAACUUUUGAAAUAAUUAUAUACACAUCCGGCAACAUUGGAGUACCAGAUGAGGACCGGGGAAGAGACAGAACCAGAACCAGAACCAGGAGACAAUAACAGAAGGACGUCGCGCCCCAAACCCACACCGAGACAAAGAGGCAGCCCAGAAUCCCCACGUCAGGACAUGCCAAGAAGGCUCCUCUCGACCUGGACAGACAAGACAACCAUGUAUUCUGCAACAGCAGUAUUGGAUCAGGACAGACAGACAGACGGACGGCCUAAGGAUCUGCCCCGACCACCACCCUUCUGAUCAGGACAGACAGACAGACGGACGGCCCAAGGAUCUGAUCAGGACAGACAGACAGACGGCCUAAGGAUCUGCCCCAACCACCACCCUUCUGAUCAGGACAGACAGACAGACGGACGGCCCAAGGAUCUGAUCAGGACAGACAGACAGACGGCCUAAGGAUCUGAUCAGGACAGACAGACAGAUGGCUGUCCCAACCACCACCCUUCUGGAAACCUGUGCCUUUAACCAACUCCAUCACAUCCAUUUUGCUUUUGUUUUCUGAUUGUUGUCCAAUUUUGGGUUGGAGCUCUGCUACUGGAUGCAUCUCCCGUACUGUCCUGCCCUCUAGUGGACAACUGGAUACAUCUUCCGUACUGUCCUGCCCUCUAGUGGACAACUGGAUACAUCUUCCGUACUGUCCUGCCCCCUGGUGGACAAGAGAAUACAUCUCCCGUACUGUCCUGCCCUCUAGUGGACAACAGGAUACAUCUCCCGUACUGUCCUGCCCCCUAGUGGACAACUGGAUACAUCUCCCGUACUGUCCUGCCCC